GGACGUGAGGGCGAUCUGGCUGCAGCAUCUGUCACCCCAUUGAUCGCCAGGGUUGAUUUGGCUGAUUUCUCUGGCUAGGCGGGUGUUCCCACCCUCCAUGCACGCCUCUCCUGAAGCUGUGCACUCAGUGGAAGAGGACACCCAUCCCAGACAGAAGGAGUGUACCAUUCUUCAGUCAAGGGUAUACAAUAGCUGCUCUCCCCAUUCAUCUAUCUAUCAUCUAUCUAUCUAUCUGGGUGGGACGCGGGUGGCGCUGUGGGUUAAACC